UGGGGAAUAUUGCACAAUGGGCGAAAGCCUGAUGCAGCGACGCCGCGUGAGGGAUGACGGCCUUCGGGUUGUAAACCUCUUUCAGCAGGGAAGAAGCGAAAGUGACGGUACCUGCAGAAGAAGCGCCGGCUAACUACGUGCCAGCAGCCGCGGUAAUACGUAGGGCGCAAGCGUUGUCCGGAAUUAUUGGGCGUAAAGAGCUCGUAGGCGGUUAGUCGCGUCUGCUGUGAAAACUCGAGGCUCAACCUCGGGCUUGCAGUGGGUACGGGCUGACUAGAGUGCGGUAGGGGUGACUGGAAUUCCUGGUGUAGCGGUGGAAUGCGCAGAUAUCAGGAGGAACACCGAUGGCGAAGGCAGGUCACUGGGCCGCAAGCUGACGCUGAGGAGCGAAACGCAUGGGG
rnacentral:rRNA from 1 species